AGUGAACGCUGGCGGUAGGCCUAACACAUGCAAGUCGAACGGCAGCACAGUAAGAGCUUGCUCUUACGGGUGGCGAGUGGCGGACGGGUGAGGAAUACAUCGGAAUCUACUUUUUCGUGGGGGAUAACGUAGGGAAACUUACGCUAAUACCGCAUACGGCCUACGGGUGAAAGCAGGGGAUCUUCGGACCUUGCGCGAUUGAAUGAGCCGAUGUCGGAUUAGCUAGUUGGCGGGGUAAAGGCCCACCAAGGCGACGAUCCGUAGCUGGUCUGAGAGGAUGAUCAGCCACACUGGAACUGAGGCACGGUCCAGACUCCUACGGGAGGCAGCAGUGGGGAAUAUUGGACAAUGGGCGCAAGCCUGAUCCAGCCAUACCGCGUGGGUGAAGAAGGCCUUCGGGUUGUAAAGCCCUUUUGUUGGGAAAGAAAAGCAGCAGGUUAAUACCCCGCUGUUCUGACGGUACCCAAAGAAUAAGCACCGGCUAACUUCGUG
rnacentral:rRNA from 1 species